rnacentral:rRNA from 1 species
GAGGGCGGCGUGCCUAUACAUGCAAGUCGAGCGGACAGAUGGGAGCUUGCUCCCUGAUGUUAGCGGCGGACGGGUGAGUAACACGUGGGUAACCUGCCUGUAAGACUGGGAUAACUCCGGGAAACCGGGGCUAAUACCGGAUGGUUGUUUGAACCGCAUGGUUCAGACAUAAAAGGUGGCUUCGGCUACCACUUACAGAUGGACCCGCGGCGCAUUAGCUAGUUGGUGAGGUAACGGCUCACCAAGGCGACGAUGCGUAGCCGACCUGAGAGGGUGAUCGGCCACACUGGGACUGAGACACGGCCCAGACUCCUACGGGAGGCAGCAGUAGGGAAUCUUCCGCAAUGGACGAAAGUCUGACGGAGCAACGCCGCGUGAGUGAUGAAGGUUUUCGGAUCGUAAAGCUCUGUUGUUAGGGAAGAACAAGUGCCGUUCAAAUAGGGCGGCACCUUGACGGUACCUAACCAGAAAGCCACGGCUAACUACGUGCCAGCAGCCGCGGUAAUACGUAGGUGGCAAGCGUUGUCCGGAAUUAUUGGGCGUAAAGGGCUCGCAGGCGGUUUCUUAAGUCUGAUGUGAAAGCCCCCGGCUCAACCGGGGAGGGUCAUUGGAAACUGGGGAACUUGAGUGCAGAAGAGGAGAGUGGAAUUCCACGUGUAGCGGUGAAAUGCGUAGAGAUGUGGAGGAACACCAGUGGCGAAGGCGACUCUCUGGUCUGUAACUGACGCUGAGGAGCGAAAGCGUGGGGAGCGAACAGGAUUAGAUACCCUGGUAGUCCACGCCGUAAACGAUGAGUGCUAAGUGUUAGGGGGUUUCCGCCCCUUAGUGCUGCAGCUAACGCAUUAAGCACUCCGCCUGGGGAGUACGGUCGCAAGACUGAAACUCAAAGGAAUUGAC